UAGUCAGCCAGUUGGAUCCGAAACCUUGAGGCUGGAGCUAAGGAGGAGAGGCAGCCCCCAGAAACAGGGCCGCCUACAGACCGUGUGCCAGCACUGUGCCAACCUGUGGUGGCAGCCCUGAAGAUGGUGGAAAGGCAGCUGCAUUCAAGAAGCCUGGUCAUCCAGUGAGCUACCUGAUGAGAUGGACAGCUCCUCCUAUAUUGAACAGACAUGGCAGAGGAAUCACCCACU